GCCAGCAUGGCAUAGUGGUUUGAGUGUCGGACUACAACUCUUGAGGCCAGGAUUCGAUUCCCGGCUCAGCCA